UCAUAGAGCAACUUGGAAUCUAUAGUUUUAGGAAAUGAGGUAUGUCGUGUAAAAUAAAAUUUUAAAUCAAAACAAAGAUGUAUUUUUAUCAGAGUUUAUAGAAAGUAAUUGAAGUAAUGGGUGUAGAGGUGGUUACCUUAAGAUAAAAGAGAAUGCGGGAGGGAGGGAAGGAGACUUAGAGAACAGGGAGAUUGAAGUGGCAGGAGGAGAAGCCUGCACAGGUGAGCAGAGGACAUCAAGCAACAAGAGUUGAUCAGGAGUGGCUGAUCAGUCUUUUCAACAGCGCCUCAUCAAAUUAGCUGACAUUAGAAAGACAGUGCUAGAAGAGGAGGAAGAAGAGAAGGAAGAAGAAAGGCUGAGGAGGAGGAGAAUCAUUCCACUUGACAGCAGGGAAAAGUUUGAAGAAAUCUUUUUAGCCAGGCAAUUGAUAAUAACUUCACAAAAUGCAUUUACCCACUCAUGAAUAUUCAUCAAGGGCAUGCUACUCUGCAAGCAGUGAG